GAGUUUCUCGAUCUCGAGUUUCAGUUCCCUCCUGGCUGCGGAGUAGUGAGGACAGUGGAGUAAGACGUGCGUCGAGUUUUCUAUUUCUGGACAUCCGUGUGGCCAUUCCGGUUGGAUAUCCAUGUCCCAUUUGCUGAUUGUGCCGUUUAGUUUGUUAUGGCCGCUUCUUAGCCAGAUUAGUGCGGAUUGGAUUGCUCUGUUUUUGUGGGUGUGCCAGCUGGCCACCCCCAUUUUUGUUCGUUGAGUGAUUGCUUGAUUUGGGGAAUUGUUUUUUAUUUUUUCUUGUGUUUUGUGUUGAUGAUUGUUUUUGAUUUUCAUUAGUUGUUCGGCCAUGUUGGGUGUGUGACACAUCGUUUCACCGUCGUCUGCUGUCCUUCUGUUGUUGGCUAGCUGGUCUGCGAUUUCGUUCCCUCUUAUUCCUGCGUGACUAGGGAUGUAGUUGCUUGAUUUCCAUUUGAAGUUGGAAAUGGCAUGGAUUGCUGACUUAGAGUCAGUGUAGAUGGUUAUUUCGGGCCAGUCCUGGUUGUAGGUGAGUGUAUAUACACAGCGCAGGUGGUCUUCUUGGUGGUCUUGAAUGUUGAUCCAUCCGUGUAGAUGUCCAGGUGGUUUUGAUCUUUAUUGCUCUUGGUCUCCAGGAAUGUGGCUGCGUUGUUCCUACUGCUUCUACGUUUGGUGUCUGGGGGAGUGUCAACGGGGCUGCUUGGAUGGAUUUCUUCACUAGGAUCAUUACUCCUCCGCCGUGGGAAUUUCGGUUUCGGUAAAAGGUAUUGAAUGCGGUAAAUUUCGGUAUGUAUUCGUCUCUCCAAAAUGUUUCACUUAGUAAUACAAUAUGUGGAUUCAGGCA